UUCGCAAUGCCCGAAAGGGUGACGAAGCGACGCCGCGUGGGUGAGGAAGGCCUUCGGGUUGUAAAGCCCUGUCAGGAGUUAAGAAAUGCAGGUGUGCUAAUAUCGCACCUGCUUGACGAAGGCUCCAAAGGAAGCCACGGCUAACUCUGUGCCAGCAGCCGCGGUAAUACAGAGGUGGCAAGCGUUGUUCGGAAUUAUUGGGCGUAAAGAGCACGUAGGUGGAUUUGUAAGUCAGAUGUGAAAGCCUUCUGUUCAACGGGAGAAUUGCAUCUGAAACUACAAACCUUGAGUAUAGGAGGGGAGAAUGGAACUUCUGGUGGAGCGGUGAAAUGCGUAGAUAUCAGAAGGAACGCCGGCGGCGAAAGCGAUUCUCUGGCCUAUUACUGACUCUCAGUGUGCGAAAGCUAGGGGAGCAAACGGGAUUAGAUACCCCGGUAGUCCUAGCCGUAAACGAUGGGCACUAAGUAGAGGGGUUUU
rnacentral:rRNA from 1 species